GACGAACCCUUGCGGCGUGCUUAACACAUGCAAGUCGAACGGAAAGGCCCUGCUUUUGUGGGGUGCUCGAGUGGCGAACGGGUGAGUAACACGUGAGUAACCUGCCCUUGACUUUGGGAUAACUUCAGGAAACUGGGGCUAAUACCGGAUAGGAGCUCCUGCUGCAUGGUGGGGGUUGGAAAGUUUCGGCGGUUGGGGAUGGACUCGCGGCUUAUCAGCUUGCUGGUGGGGUAGUGGCUUACCAAGGCUUUGACGGGUAGCCGGCCUGAGAGGGUGACCGGCCACAUUGGGACUGAGAUACGGCCCAGACUCCUACGGGAGGCAGCAGUGGGGAAUAUUGCACAAUGGGCGGAAGCCUGAUGCAGCAACGCCGCGUGCGGGAUGACGGCCUUCGGGUUGUAAACCGCUUUCGCCUGUGACGAAGCGUGAGUGACGGUAAUGGGUAAAGAAGCACCGGCUAACUACGUGCCAGCAGCCGCGGUGAUACGUAGGGUGCGAGCGUUGUCCGGAUUUAUUGGGCGUAAAGGGCUCGUAGGUGGUUGAUCGCGUCGGAAGUGUAAUCUUGGGGCUUAACCCUGAGUGUGCUUUCGAUACGGGUUGACUUGAGGAAGGUAGGGGAGAAUGGAAUUCCUGGUGGAGCGGUGGAAUGCGCAGAUAUCAGGAGGAACACCAGUGGCGAAGGCGGUUCUCUGGGCCUUUCCUGACGCUGAGGAGCGAAAGCGUGGGGAGCGAACAGGCUUAGAUACCCUGGUAGUCCACGCCGUAAACGGUGGGUACUAGGUGUGGGGUUCAUUCCACGGGUUCCGUGCCGUAGCUAACGCUUUAAGUACCCCGCCUGGGGAGUACGGCCGCAAGGCUAAAACUCAAAGGAAUUGACGGGGCCCCGCACAAGCGGCGGAGCAUGCGGAUUAAUUCGAUGCAACGCGUAGAACCUUACCUGGGUUUGACAUGGAUCGGGAGUGCUCAGAGAUGGGUGUGCCUCUUUUGGGGUCGGUUCACAGGUGGUGCAUGGCUGUCGUCAGCCCGUGUCGUGAGAUGUUGGGUUAAGUCCCGCAACGAGCGCAACCCUUGUUCACUGUUGCCAGCACGUUAUGGUGGGGACUCAGUGGAGACCGCCGGGGUCAACUCGGAGGAAGGUGGGGAUGACGUCAAGUCAUCAUGCCCCUUAUGUCCAGGGCUUCACGCAUGCUACAAUGGCUGGUACAGAGAGUGGCGAGCCUGUGAGGGUGAGCGAAUCUCGGAAAGCCGGUCUCAGUUCGGAUUGGGGUCUGCAACUCGACCUCAUGAAGUCGGAGUCGCUAGUAAUCGCAGAUCAGCAACGCUGCGGUGAAUACGUUCCCGGG
rnacentral:rRNA from 1 species